rnacentral:rRNA from 1 species
GAGGAAUAUUGGACAAUGGGCGAGAGCCUGAUCCAGCCAUGCCGCGUGCAGGAAGACUGCCCUAUGGGUUGUAAACUGCUUUUAUACGGGAAGAAACCCACCUACGUGUAGGUGGCUGACGGUACCGUAAGAAUAAGCAUCGGCUAACUCCGUGCCAGCAGCCGCGGUAAUACGGAGGAUGCAAGCGUUAUCCGGAAUCAUUGGGUUUAAAGGGUCCGUAGGUGGACAAUUAAGUCAGAGGUGAAAUCCUGCAGCUUAACUGUAGAAUUGCCUUUGAUACUGGUUGUCUUGAAUUAUUGUGAAGUGGUUAGAAUAUGUAGUGUAGCGGUGAAAUGCAUAGAUAUUACAUAGAAUACCAAUUGCGAAGGCAGAUCACUAACAAUAUAUUGACACUGAUGGACGAAAGCGUGGGGAGCGAACGGG